rnacentral:rRNA from 1 species
UAGGGUGCAAGCGUUAAUCGGAAUUACUGGGCGUAAAGCGUGCGCAGGCGGUUUUGUAAGACAGUGGUGAAAUCCCCGGGCUCAACCUGGGAACUGCCAUUGUGACUGCAAGGCUAGAGUGCGGCAGAGGGGGAUGGAAUUCCGCGUGUAGCAGUGAAAUGCGUAGAUAUGCGGAGGAACACCGAUGGCGAAUGCAAUCCCCUGGGCCUGCACUGACGCUCAUGCACGAAAGCGUGGGGAGCAAACAGGAUUAGAUACCCUGGUAGUCAAGGGCG